rnacentral:rRNA from 1 species
UUUUUUUUAAAAAAAAUGCUUUUUGGACAUUGGGAGCUGCCGGCCACUCAUUGGUGGGCUCUUCUGAAAUGCAUUAGUUGGAGGAGCUUUGCAACUCUGUUGGUGUGAUAGACUAUCUAUGCCAGGAGAUGCUUUUAUGGAUCCUCUGCUAUCUAACCGUCCUUUGUUUGGACAACAUGAUAAACUUGACCUCAAAUCAGGUAGGACUACCCGCUGAACUUAAGCAUAUCAAUAAGCGGAGGAAAAGAAACUAACAAGGAUUCCCUUAGUAACUGCGAGUGAAGAGGGAAAAGCUCAAAUUUAAAAUCUGGCAGUGUUUCAUUGUCCGAGUUGUAACCUAGAGAAGUGUAACCUGUGCUGGACCGUGUAUAAGUCUCCUGGAAUGGAGCAUCACAGAGGGUGAGAAUCCCGUCUUUGACACGGACUACCAGUGCAUUGUGGUUGCGCUCUCAACGAGUCGAGUUGUUUGGGAAUGCAGCUCUAAAUGGGUGGUAAAUUCCAUCUAAAGCUAAAUAUUGGCGAGAGACCGAUAGCGAACAAGUACCGUGAGGGAAAGAUGAAAAGAACUUUGGAAAGAGAGUUAAACAGUAUGUGAAAUUGUUGAAAGGGAAACGUUUGAAGUCAGUCGCGUUGGCCGGGGAUCAGCCUGACAUUGUUGGGUGUACUUCCUGGUUGACGGGCCAACAUCAGUUUUGACUGCCAGAAAAAGGCGAGGGGAAUGUGGCACCUUUGGGUGUGUUAUAGCCCUUGGUCGUAUAUGGCGGUUGGGACUGAGGAAAGCAGCGCGCCGAAAGGCCGGGUUUCGACCACGUCGCGCUAGGA